rnacentral:rRNA from 1 species
GACGAACGCUGGCGGCGUGCCAAAUACAUGCAAGUCGAGCGCAGGAAAUCAUCCGAACCCUUCGGGGGGACGUUGAUGGAAUGAGCGGCGGACGGGUGAGUAACACGUAAAGAACCUGCCCUCAGGUCUGGGAUAACCACGAGAAAUCGGGGCUAAUACCGGAUGGGUCAUCGGACCGCAUGGUCCGAGGAUGAAAGGCGCUUCGGCGUCGCCUGGGGAUGGCUUUGCGGUGCAUUAGCUAGUUGGUGGGGUAACGGCCCACCAAGGCGACGAUGCAUAGCCGACCUGAGAGGGUGAUCGGCCACACUGGGACUGAGACACGGCCCAGACUCCUACGGGAGGCAGCAGUAGGGAAUCUUCCACAAUGGACGAAAGUCUGAUGGAGCAACGCCGCGUGAACGAUGAAGGCCUUCGGGUCGUAAAGUUCUGUUGUAAGGGAAGAACAAGUGCCGCAGGCAAUGGCGGCACCUUGACGGUACCUUGCGAGAAAGCCACGGCUAACUACGUGCCAGCCGCCGCUGUAA